rnacentral:rRNA from 1 species
ACUAAGCGUACACGGUGGAUGCCCUGGCAGUCAGAGGCGAUGAAGGACGUGCUAAUCUGCGAUAAGCGUCGGUGAGGUGAUAUGAACCGUUAUAACCGGCGAUUUCCGAAUGGGGAAACCCAGUGUGUUUCGACACACUAUCAUUAACUGAAUCCAUAGGUUAAUGAGGCGAACCGGGGGAACUGAAACAUCUAAGUACCCCGAGGAAAAGAAAUCAACCGAGAUUCCCCCAGUAGCGGCGAGCGAACGGGGAGGAGCCCAGAGCCUGAAUCAGUGUGUGUGUUAGUGGAAGCGUCUGGAAAGGCGCGCGAUACAGGGUGACAGCCCCGUACACAAAAAUGCACAUAUUGUGAGCUCGAUGAGUAGGGCGGGACACGUGGUAUCCUGUCUGAAUAUGGGGGGACCAUCCUCCAAGGCUAAAUACUCCUGACUGACCGAUAGUGAACCAGUACCGUGAGGGAAAGGCGAAAAGAACCCCGGCGAGGGGAGUGAAAAAGAACCUGAAACCGUGUACGUACAAGCAGUGGGAGCCUCUUAAUGGGGUGACUGCGUACCUUUUGUAUAAUGGGUCAGCGACUUAUAUUCUGUAGCAAGGUUAACCGAAUAGGGGAGCCGAAGGGAAACCGAGUCUUAACUGGGCGUUAAGUUGCAGGGUAUAGACCCGAAACCCGGUGAUCUAGCCAUGGGCAGGUUGAAGGUUGGGUAACACUAACUGGAGGACCGAACCGACUAAUGUUGAAAAAUUAGCGGAUGACUUGUGGCUGGGGGUGAAAGGCCAAUCAAACCGGGAGAUAGCUGGUUCUCCCCGAAAGCUAUUUAGGUAGCGCCUCGUGAAUUCAUCUCCGGGGGUAGAGCACUGUUUCGGCAAGGGGGUCAUCCCGACUUACCAACCCGAUGCAAACUGCGAAUACCGGAGAAUGUUAUCACGGGAGACACACGGCGGGUGCUAACGUCCGUCGUGAAGAGGGAAACAACCCAGACCGCCAGCUAAGGUCCCAAAGUCAUGGUUAAGUGGGAAACGAUGUGGGAAGGCCCAGACAGCCAGGAUGUUGGCUUAGAAGCAGCCAUCAUUUAAAGAAAGCGUAAUAGCUCACUGGUCGAGUCGGCCUGCGCGGAAGAUGUAACGGGGCUAAACCAUGCACCGAAGCUGCGGCAGCGACACUAUGUGUUGUUGGGUAGGGGAGCGUUCUGUAAGCCUGUGAAGGUGGCCUGUGAGGGUUGCUGGAGGUAUCAGAAGUGCGAAUGCUGACAUAAGUAACGAUAAAGCGGGUGAAAAGCCCGCUCGCCGGAAGACCAAGGGUUCCUGUCCAACGUUAAUCGGGGCAGGGUGAGUCGACCCCUAAGGCGAGGCCGAAAGGCGUAGUCGAUGGGAAACAGGUUAAUAUUCCUGUACUUGGUGUUACUGCGAAGGGGGGACGGAGAAGGCUAUGUUGGCCGGGCGACGGUUGUCCCGGUUUAAGCGUGUAGGCUGGUUUUCCAGGCAAAUCCGGAAAACCAAGGCUGAGGCGUGAUGACGAGGCACUACGGUGCUGAAGUGACAAAUGCCCUGCUUCCAGGAAAAGCCUCUAAGCAUCAGGUAACAUCAAAUCGUACCCCAAACCGACACAGGUGGUCAGGUAGAGAAUACCAAGGCGCUUGAGAGAACUCGGGUGAAGGAACUAGGCAAAAAUGGUGCCGUAACUUCGGGAGAAGGCACGCUGAUAUGUAGGUGAAGCGACUUGCUCGUGGAGCUGAAAUCAGUCGAAGAUACCAGCUGGCUGCAACUGUUUAUUAAAAACACAGCACUGUGCAAACACGAAAGUGGACGUAUACGGUGUGACGCCUGCCCGGUGCCGGAAGGUUAAUUGGAUGGGGUUAGCGGCAACGCGAAGCUCUUGAUCGAAGCCCCGGUAAACGGCGGCCGUAACUAUAACGGUCCUAAGGUAGCGAAAUUCCUUGUCGGGUAAGUUCCGACCUGCACGAAUGGCGUAAUGAUGGCCAGGCUGUCUCCACCCGAGACUCAGUGAAAUUGAACUCGCUGUGAAGAUGCAGUGUACCCGCGGCAAGACGGAAAGACCCCGUGAACCUUUACUAUAGCUUGACACUGAACAUUGAGCCUUGAUGUGUAGGAUAGGUGGGAGGCUUUGAAGUGUGGACGCCAGUCUGCAUGGAGCCGGCCUUGAAAUACCACCCUUUAAUGUUUGAUGUUCUAACGUGGGCCCCUUACCGGGGUUGCGGACAGUGUCUGGUGGGUAGUUUGACUGGGGCGGUCUCCUCCUAAAGAGUAACGGAGGAGCACGAAGGUUGGCUAAUCCUGGUCGGACAUCAGGGGGUUAGUGCAAUGGCAUAAGCCAGCUUGACUGCGAGCGUGACGGCGCGAGCAGGUGCGAAAGCAGGUCAUAGUGAUCCGGUGGUUCUGAAUGGAAGGGCCAUCGCUCAACGGAUAAAAGGUACUCCGGGGAUAACAGGCUGAUACCGCCCAAGAGUUCAUAUCGACGGCGGUGUUUGGCACCUCGAUGUCGGCUCAUCACAUCCUGGGGCUGAAGUAGGUCCCAAGGGUAUGGCUGUUCGCCAUUUAAAGUGGUACGCGAGCUGGGUUUAGAACGUCGUGAGACAGUUCGGUCCCUAUCUGCCGUGGGCGCUGGAGAACUGAGGGGGGCUGCUCCUAGUACGAGAGGACCGGAGUGGACGCAUCACUGGUGUUCGGGUUGUCAUGCCAAUGGCACUGCCCGGUAGCUAAAUGCGGAAGAGAUAAGUGACUGAAAGCAUCUAAGCACGAAACUUGCCCCGAGAUGAGUUCUCCCUGACCCUUUAAGGGUCCUGAAGGAACGUUGAAGACGACGACGUUGAUAGGCCGGGUGUGUAAGCGCAGCGAUGCGUUGAGCUAACCGGUACUAAUGAACCGUGAGGCUUAACC